rnacentral:tRNA from 1 species
ACCUGAGUGGCUCAGUUGGUUAAGCAUCUGACUUUGGCUCAGGUCAUGAUCUCAUGGUUUGUGGGUUCAAGCCCCAUGUCAGGCU